rnacentral:rRNA from 1 species
UCUCCUGGAAACGGGUGGUAAUGCCGGAUGCUCCGACAUGACGCAUGUCGUGUCGGGAAAGAUUCUAUCGGUAUGGGAUGGGGUCGCGUCCUAUCAGCUUGAUGGCGGGGUAACGGCCCACCAUGGCUUCGACGGGUAGCCGGCCUGAGAGGGCGACCGGCCACAUUGGGACUGAGAUACGGCCCAGACUCCUACGGGAGGCAGCAGUGGGGAAUAUUGCACAAUGGGCGCAAGCCUGAUGCAGCGACGCCGCGUGCGGGAUGACGGCCUUCGGGUUGUAAACCGCUUUUGACUGGGAGCAAGCCCUUCGGGGUGAGUGUACCUUUCGAAUAAGCACCGGCUAACUACGUGCCAGCAGCCGCGGUAAUACGUAGGGUGCAAGCGUUAUCCGGAAUUAUUGGGCGUAAAGGGCUCGUAGGCGGUUCGUCGCGUCCGGUGUGAAAGUCCAUCGCUUAACGGUGGAUCCGCGCCGGGUACGGGCGGGCUUGAGUGCGGUAGGGGAGACUGGAAUUCCCGGUGUAACGGUGGAAUGUGUAGAUAUCGGAAAGAACACCAAC